rnacentral:rRNA from 1 species
GGGGAAUUUUGGACAAUGGGCGCAAGCCUGAUCCAGCCAUGCCGCGUGUCUGAAGAAGGCCUUCGGGUUGUAAAGGACUUUUGUCAGGGAAGAAAAGGCUGUUGCUAAUACCGACAGCUGAUGACGGUACCUGAAGAAUAAGCACCGGCUAACUACGUGCCAGCAGCCGCGGUAAUACGUAGGGUGCGAGCGUUAAUCGGAAUUACUGGGCGUAAAGCGAGCGCAGACGGUUGCUUAAGCAGGAUGUGAAAUCCCCGGGCUCAACCUGGGAACUGCGUUCUGAACUGGGUGACUAGAGUGUGUCAGAGGGAGGUAGAAUUCCACGUGUAGCAGUGAAAUGCGUAGAGAUGUGGAGGAAUACCGAUGGCGAAGGCAGCCUCCUGGGAUAACACUGACGUUCAUGCUCGAAAGCGUGGGUAGCAAACAGGAUUAGAUACCCUGGUAGUCCACGCCCUAAACGAUGUCAAUUAGCUGUUGGGCAACUUGAUUGCUUAGUAGCGUAGCUAACGCGUGAAAUUGACCGCCUGGGGAGUACGGUCGCAAGAUUA